GAUGAACUUGUUGGGUUUUAUGGUUGGUGCAAGGAUGUUGGGAUUGCAAGAUCAUCUGAGUUCCCUGCCGUGCAGAGAAUUACCGAUCAGCUGUUGGGAACACUUGAAGGAUUUUUGAAAGAAAAGACUAACAUGCCAUCUAAGAGUCCUGUGAGAAGUACGGAGGAGAAGGUUCCAAUUAAGCAAGAAUUGGAACCAGAUAUGAAUGAGGUCAAGGCUCUUCCUCC
rnacentral:misc_RNA from 1 species